rnacentral:rRNA from 1 species
ACAUGCCUAUAACAUAGCGUUAAUGCACUGGAUCCCAUUAGAACUUUGUAGUUAAGCAUGCUCAGACUAGAGUAGUACUGAGAUGGGUGAUCGGCCGAGAAGUCCUAGUGUUUUACAUGCC